GUGCACAUGAGUUGUAGUGAUACUCGGUUGGUUUUUGUUGAAUUUCACUCAGUUUAAAGGAGUUAAUGGUUUGUUUGUACCCUGAGGCUGAGACAUCACAGUUUGCUGAUGGAGGAUAGCAUUCCAGGCUAACAGACGGUUCUCGAGUAGCUCUCAGAACUGUGUUACUACAAGGAGAAAAUUGCUGCCUGUGAAGGACAUCCGUCAAAAACUCUUCCCAAAUAAAAUGAGAAACUAUACAAUUGAAAGCUCUAGCUCGGGCCUAUCUACUUGUUCCUGGUGGGCCAACUUUGGAGAGUAUAAAUUCCUCACAAAGUGAAAAAUACAACAUACUGAUAGCGUUGCGGCGCUACAAGAGGACAUUGACGGCACACAGAAAGACAAGGAAGACCAUCACAUCACAACAAAAGCCCUUGCUCACAGUGCGCACACACACCGGCCGGAGUGAGAGAAGACUCUCCAGCCAACCCCUCUGAUCCCUGCUACCAGAUGUUUCAGCACCAUGGACAGCAGACUGUCUUGUGGAUCUGAUUCAGCACCGUGGACAGCAUGGAUGGUCUGAACCUCACAACUG